rnacentral:lncRNA from 1 species
UUAACACGUGCUGUGCUAGAGGUUGUCACACUGCAGUGACCAGUACAUCAAGAGUGGGACAGUAUCCAUUCAACUACAGACUUGCCUGAAGCGUGGCUCUCUGCUUUCUCCUUCUUGUCUGGUUGUUGCUCAAGGGAAGACCACGGUUUGGGAUAAUCUCUACUCUCCAACAAACACAUCGCACAUGGGAAUGAUGUCUCUGAGCUUGUGCCUCUGCAAGGCCACACGCUUUAUGGCGCUGAGUCCAAGAGAAGACUUCCAAGUGAUUGUCAGGUAACUCCAAAUGCUUUCAUAUCUUCUAGUGCCAAAUUAAUUCUAGUAUUGGAAAUUAAUUUCCUAGUAUGUUUGGGGAAUAAAGAGGUGAAUUAAUUACUGCAGGCAUCAUGAUACCAUCCAAAGUCUGCAGUUAGUUAUUGGUUCAGAUUAGCAUGAAACCAGUAGUAAUUGGGUUCUGCUUCUUUAUCAUUCAAGAGCUCUUUUACAUGACAACACGAUAUACACAUCUCCAAGGGAUACCUCUGGCACUUCCACUGCUCUCAUUUCUUUGCACACCCUUGUUCAUUAUUGAAACUUGGAACCAAAGCAGGAUAUGGGGAGGUCUGUCCGUCUGCUUUAUUUCACCUAAGCAAACUCUACACUCCCUUGUUAGCACAGGAAGCAUUUAUGAAAGUUGUUUAAAGAGCAAUUGCUCUUCACCAGGGAUGCUUGUCUUUGCUCUGAAUUUAAAUCAGGUUCAUGACGCAG